rnacentral:rRNA from 1 species
UACGGAGGGUGCAAGCGUUAUCCGGAUUCACUGGGUUUAAAGGGUGCGUAGGUGGGCUAGUAAGUCAGUGGUGAAAUCUCCGGGCUUAACCCGGAAACUGCCAUUGAUACUAUUAGUCUUGAAUACCAUGGAGGUGAGCGGAAUAUGUCAUGUAGCGGUGAAAUGCUUAGAUAUGACAUAGAACACCAAUUGCGAAGGCAGCUCGCUACGCGGUUAUUGACACUGAGGCACGAAAGCGUGGGGGAUCAAACAGG